GUCAAUAGCCAUACCACCCUGAAUGUGCCCAAUCUCAUCUGAUCUCAGAAGCUAAGCAGGAUCGGGGCUGGUUAGUACUUGGAUGGGAGAUAAGAAGGCAAGGGCUAUGGUCA
rnacentral:rRNA from 1 species